AUUGAACGCUGGCGGCCGGCCUAACACAUGCAAGUCGAGCGGAGCGGCGGACGGGUGAGUAAUGCCUAGGAAUCUGCCUGGUAGUGGGGGAUAACGUCCGGAAACGGGCGCUAAUACCGCAUCCUAUCAGAUGAGCCGAGGUCGGAUUAGCUAGUUGGUGGGGUAAAAGCCUACCAAGGCGUCGAUCCGUAACUGGUCUGAGAGGAUGUUCAGUCACACUGGAACUUAGACACGGUCCGGACUCCUACGGGAGGCAGCAGUGGGGAAUAUUGAACAAUGGGCGAGAGCCUGAUCCAGCCAUGCCGCUUGUGUGAAGAAGGUCUUCGGAUUGUAAAGCACUUUAAGUGGGGAUGCGUUACCAACAGAAUAAGCACCGGCUAACUUCGUGCCAGCAGCCGCGGUAAGUC
rnacentral:rRNA from 1 species